rnacentral:rRNA from 1 species
CGGCAACAGCUCAGAUUUGAAAUCCGGCCCCCCGGGGCCCGAGUUGUAAUCUGUAGAGGAUGCUUCUGGCAAGGCGCCGUCCGAGUUCCCUGGAACGGGACGCCGGAGAGGGUGAGAGCCCCGUACAGGCGGACGCCGAGCCUCUGUGAAGCUCCUUCGAC